rnacentral:lncRNA from 1 species
GUAAUGCUGCUACAGUCCUGGCUGAAACUGGAUUGCUGACCUCCCUUCAAACAUAUGACUGUCAGAGUGUGCUACCUUUGACUACUUCUUGGUAGAGGUGGUCACAUCCUGUGUUCAGGAUGAUGCCACAUUUAAACCCAAGAUAAUUUUUCAACCAAUGAAACAGAUCUCCUCUAUAAUCUAUAAAAUACAGUUGUUUCUCUGUAUCCAUGGGGUACUGAUUCAAGAAAUGCCCAUGGAUGCCCAAACUGCAACAACUCUGGUCUCUUGUUAGAAAGGUUUACUGUUUGCAUAUAACUAGACCUGUCCUCCUGCAUGACUCAUCUAUACAGCACCAGGAAAGACUCACAGAAGGCUUAGUGCUCUGCAAAUGGCUGCUACACUGUACUGUUGGAAGCUAACAAGGAGAACAGGUCUACAUGUGUUCAACGAAGAUAAUGUCCCGACACUGUGGCUUCGUUGGAGGUUUACAUUAAAACAGGACUUUGGUGAGCAUGUGAUGUCAAGACACCUUCUUUCUACCUGAGAGACAAUGACAUGUGACACUGAGGAGGAAAGUGUGUAGCUCAAGACCAGCAGACAAAUGAAAGCUUGUUAUCUCAUGUAGUGUGCAGAUGGACAGAGCAAGCCGGAGAAGCAGAUGAACUUCUGGUGUCUGUAGGCAGGCUUUACCUGCGUUAGUCUCCACGUACUUAGAGAGUCUGAUAUUGGGAUGAGUCUGCCUUUCCACUGAAUUUUCCUAAAAGACUUGCAUAGUUGAAGGCUGAAGAAUGGGCGCAGAGGCUGAGGGGAGUUACUCUUCAUCAAUGUCAGUGCGGGCACGGGCAAAGACUACAACACAUCCUUCUACAAAGACUGUUGCCAUUAGAAACAUGGAUAUAUUUUAUUGUAAGUCAAAUCAUUUAUUGUGAAUAUUCACUGGAUUCUACAAGAGUUCUGAUAAUCCCUGAACCCAAUGUGGUAAGAGCACAGAGGCUCACAAGCGACUCGAGGAGAGAAAUUCUAGGCUAUUCCCCAGGAAACACUGGACUUAUUCCUUGCCAUCUUCCAUGUAAACAGAUGGUUUAGUUAUUAAAAAAGAAUACACAGG